GUUUUUCCCCAAGUACCGGAUGUUGUAGUUGGCUUAGGGCAGUGGGACAUUUCCGCUGACAACUAUGCAGAAAUGGACCUUUUAAAUCAUUUAUUCAACUACAAUGACGUCUUG